AACUGGGUGAAGAAAGGAAAUGAAAAAAGGAGGGGGAGUAAGGGUGAGAGAGAGGAGAAAGAGAAGUUGACAGUCACCGUGCGGACUGUCUGGAUUGUGAGAGGGAUGUCUGGCCGACUGAAUUGAUUAGCUCUGGACAAGACCAUUAGCUAAUGAAGACCGUCUGGGGAGGACAACAGCGCCGCUCAAGAGAAAUGACCUUCCUCCUCUAAGACCUCAUCUAAGGACUGCUUCCAUAGGAGCCAGGGAGUGCAGACAGCCUUGCAUCCAUCAUCUUUUACUAACACCAGAAGUAUAGCCUGGUAAAAUAUUCACAACCACUCACAAGUGUGGACACGUUUUUUUUCCCUUUCGACAUCCAUGUCAAGGAGGGCAGAGGCAUGCUGCAUGCGUGCCUCAGACUGCUGUUGCAUCACGAUUAGGGAUUGUUUUCCUUUCCAGCUCAGCACUGGCGUCAUUCACGAUUAAUUACACAGUUGCCCUUAAGCUCUGGUGCAUCAGCAUGAAUAAUGAUCCUGUUAUGGUCUCGGACACCAGGUUACUACUGGAAUAUGAAUAACAGCCACCGUGUCAUAUGAGCCCAUUCGUUUGGAAGUGCUUUGGAGCCGUCUCCUUGAAUAACACAGAGGCAGCCGCUGCCCUGAACGUGCUCCAUUCAUGAAGACGAGUUAUCUAGAAAUGUGAUUGGAAUUGGAUUGUCUGCUCUGUAAUUGAGUUACUGGUAGUCUCAGGGGCCAUAGGCACUUCCAAAACUCUCUGAGCUUGGAAAGAAUGUCCCGGUAUGUUAACAUUACAUUUAUCAGUUGAUCUCACUGCCGUUUGGUCAGUUGACUUCUGAAAACACCCGUGGAGGGCAAAGGAGCAGAUGAUGGAGCUUAAAUGAUGGUUUUGUUUCCUGAAGUCAAAGCUGGUCGUCAUAUGCAAAUCUUUUGGCCUAAAGGAAAAUAAAUACACUAUUCUGCCCUCUAGUGGUGAAUAUGUGUCAUAAUGGCAAACAAAGAUGGCCCAAAUCUACUCCAAAAAGCAAUGUGAUCUCAUAGGCCCAGAAGUCAAUGGCUCCUUACAUCCCGGCUUGACAAGUCAGGAGGAUACACGCUAAUCCCCUUAAUCUGGCCUUUCUCCUGUGCGCAGCCACAGGGAGAGGGGGACCACAGAGAGUAAUCCUGUAGAGGGAACAAUAGGAUUAAGGACCUCGACCCCGCAAGUGACAAUCAGGUAUCCACUGACGGAUCUGCAAAAGCAAGGAGCACCGAAAAACUCUCCUCAAUUUAACUUAUUUUGUCAGGGGGCCCGAGAAAGAGAUGGAGGAGGGGGGGAAAGAUGGAGUAGAGGGUGGGCCAUGUGGGGGUUCUUUGAGGAGGUGCUGGAGGUCCCACCCUCCACCCACCCUACUCCAGUCAUGACAGGUCUGUGGUCUCUAAACACCAGUGACCUGAGCUUGAGUGACAGGUGUAGGUGGAGUCGGGGUUGGAAGAAGUAGAGCGGGGCAGUGAUAGACUGUGAUGUGUUUAUGUCAUGUGUGCGUGCGUGCACACACACACACACACAAAUACAUGUAUAUUGAAUUGAAAAAGUAUAAUGAUGUUGUAUUCACAGGCCAGAUUGAUAUUGGUAAUUGUGUACAGUACAAUUUUGUUGCGAAAAAUCUUUGUCUAAGAAAUACUGUAGGAUUUCAGACUCUGUCCACUCUCUAAACUGCAGCGACUGGAGUGAAAUGUUGAUGCAGGACUACUUAAAGACUGCUAAUGGAAUAAAGAAACGCCAUUGGAAUACCGAAUUUGGAGGGUCAUAUCAUCACUACCAUCAAUGU